CAGGAACAGUGCACGCCCUUGAUUCCUACACGUGGGGGUCGGACAGACUCAGGUGCCUCUGAAUUCCCACAAGGAGGAUCCCACUCAUGAUCCAUGUUUAUAUUUUGCUUGACUCUACCUCAUCCUCGGUCCCAAACUCUGUCAGGGAUUUGCGGAAUCUUCGGCUCGGAGGUCGGCGCUUUAUGGAGCCUUUUGUACGAAGCUGCACGGAGUUACCUCUUUCCUGGGGCUGUUGCGCUGCUCUCCAAAUAUCCCUGCAAGCUUUGCCACUGAUGGUACUGGGGCCUCCUCCGCUGAACUGAUAUCCGCUGAUUUCCCCUGCAAGUCACAAAUAAAUAUCUUCACUCUGGAAUUUCAGCAGCUAUCUGGUGCUAGGGUCCUAAUUAUAAUUACUAAUUAUAAUUACUAACUAGGCAGUGGUGUGAAUGAGAAACUGGAAGAUACAAAGGAGAGAACCUGAAUAGAAAACAAAAGUAAUAAAAAAGUAACUAAAUAAAAUUGAAGCCUCACAGAGCAAUAGCUUUCUGGCUGCUAGGGUCAGUGACCACCCAUUUCAUAAAGCUGGAAAGAAACAGACGAGGAACACAAAUCCUGCCAAAACUCUUUAGAAAAAACAGAUGGAAAAUUUGCUAAGAACUGCCCAUUCUAUAACAUACUAAAAUUCAACUUAAUAGUGAACUACCCCUGUAAAAUGUAAUAUUUAUCACUGUAUAUCUCACUAUUUAUCCAGCACCCAACAGAGGAAAGGCCAGGCCCUUCUUGAGAAAGUUCUUGAUGCCUCCAGCAGGCCUGCGUUAUCAUUCCCGUGCCGGGAACAUUGCACAAUAUAAAUUCUCAGACAUGAGGUCAGUAGGGACAUCCUCACCACGUCCCCAAGGAGGACUGUUUAUCUUCAGAGCUUAGAGCAUUCCGUCCAUUGUGUAUUUCUCUAUUAUUUCAUGAGAUCAUUUCUGUUUGUCCCCCCCCACCCGUGCCGCUCCCUUAGAAUGGCAGUACUUGAAAUAUUAAGAAUUCUCUAAAUACUCAACAGAACAAGGGCCUUAAGGCUUCCAUUGGCCGACGAGAAAAGCAGAAAGAGACAUAUUCCAGACAUUUUGGCCUCAGGAUUCUUCUCCCCCCCCCAAGCCUCAUUCUGGGUUCAGUUUAUGGGAAAGUAUGUUCAUUAUGUAUAUUAGUCUGUUUUUUGUGCAAGUCAUAUUUUAUGUAGGUUUUAGCAACUAAUGUCCUUCAGUUGAAGACAAUAUUAAUGUUAACACCACUCACAAUCUCUGACCAAACAUUUGCUCCUUGGAAAUGGAAUACUAGUGUGUUUUGAAUGAGCCAUCAAGUUCUUAAGAUUAAGGUUUGGGGGCACAAGAUUGAUAAUACCCCACCCCCCUUAAAGAAGUAAUAUUGGAGACAUAGACAGAGGGCUGUUGGUCUGGGAACCACUGAUACUCUCAGGGUCUCAUCCAAUUCCCCUUUUGGAGUCAGAAGGCAAAGUAGAUGGUUUCAGAGGGAGUUAUUCUCUAAAUCAUAGAAUUUACUUUAACAUAAGGUUGAACCUGAUGGACAUAUGUGUUUUCUUCCUUACCCCUUGAUGCUGCAAUAUGUAGUAGAAGGCCAUGUUUGUUCUUCUUUUGGAACUACUGAGGCUUCAAGCCGUAGUAACACAAGAUACUACUCGAGCAUUUAAGAAAAACUUAAGGUCUUUCAAAUGAUGCACUGUAUGGUCAAAUAAUCAGGACACAUUUGUGUCAAUAAGUUUCUGGACACCCUAUCUAAAAAGCUUGACCUCCACCCAACAGAAUGCCUGUGGGAAGGAUUGGAACCUUAUGCCUGAUCCACCCAAAAUCAGUGCCCAGCCUCACUAAUGCUAGUGUUGGACUGGGGUGUCCACUGGGUUUUUUCCGGUAUCCCGCCAGCCCAGUGUGACCCUGGCUAAAGCUCUUGCGGCUGAAUGGCAGCAACUCCCAGCAACAUUGUUCCAACAUCUAGCAGGAACCUUCCCAGAUGAGUAGGGGCUGAUACAUCAGCAACAGGAGGGGACAUAUUCAUCCCCUUGAUUUUGGAAUAAGACAUUGGGGAGGCAGGGAUAUAGAUAAUUAUGGCUGUAACGGGCUUUUACUGUAUUGUAUUGUUGUGUUGCAAUAUCAGGAUACUAAACAGCUGAUGAUCUGCACAGUAUUCUGUGUCACUCUGGCCAGGCAAGAUUAUAAAUAGCCCAACAGGAAUGAGAUAUGAAUCUGUGCCAGCCUUUGGACAGCACCAUGAUAAUCAAUGCCAAGAAUGAAGAUUUCACCAUGGGGCAGAUGUCCAGUCUCCAAUAGAUGUGACACUCGAAAGCCGGAUGUGUAUAGAACAAAGAACUCCUCAAUGGUGGUUUUGCCUCACAUCUCCGUCUAUGUUUUUAUCUAGUCUGUACUGAGGCUGCACAGCCCCCCGAAUAUUAUCACUGGGCAGAAGAUAAAGCAGUCGCCAUGGCACAGGACACAGAGACAAAUGGACACGUUCAUGGGACACCAACAAGAGAGGUCAAGGGAAGAGACAUUCUGUAAUGGAAAUGACACAGCUGGAUGAUUCCAGUAGGGUUAUAACGGCUUCUGUAUCGAGUGGGAAACGGUCUUGGAAAUGGGGAAAUCUGUAUUUGAUCACAAUGUCAGAGCCAUUAAGGUCACUGUGUCUUGACUCUUUCAUGUGAGACAGAGUAAGCCAUUCCAGCAACUGACUGCCUACACGAUGGUCUCCUCUGUACCACAAGGCUUUUACCCUACUAGUCUCAAGAGUUUUCUCUCUGUUCCCAAUCCAUUUAACUCAUCAUCCCCCAUCCUACACUCUAACAUCUACCCUUCUCCAUUUAUUUUCUUCCACUUUAUGCCCCUGCGUUCUACCAACCUCCCUCUGUUGUUGUCUGUCCCCUCUUCCAACCAUUCCCUGCUUCCCUACCUACUUCCAUCCAGCCUCUGUCUCCCCUACAUUCAUUCUCCUGGUUCCCUUUCUGGACCUACUCUCCCAUGCUGGAUCGACCAAUUACCAAGAAAGUCUGCAUUAUACUACACAUUAAAAGGGUGGUUCACAUUUAAGACAACUUUUAGUAUGUUAUAAAAUGGCUGAGCAACUUUUGAAUUGGUCUUAUUUUUGUUUUUUUUUAUACUUUUUCAAUUAUUAGCUUUCUUCUGGCUGUUUCCAGUUUUCAAAUGAGGGUCACUGACCCCAUUUAAAAACAAAUGCUCUGUAAGGCUACAAAUUUCUUGAUAUUGCUUUUAUUACUCAUAUUUCUAGUCAGACCCUUUCCUAAUUAUAUUCCAGUAUUUUAUUCUAAUCAAUUCAUGGUUGCUAGGAAAAUUUGAACCCUAGCAACUGACUGCAGAAAUCACAAACUGCAGAGCUUCUGAAUAAAAAGCUAAAUAACUAAAACAACAACAAUUAAUAAAAAAUGAAAACCAA